rnacentral:rRNA from 1 species
AGUGAACGCUGGCGGCGUGCCUAAUACAUGCAAGUCGAACGGAGUGGCGCACGGGUGAGUAAUAUAUAGCUAAUCUGCCCCUUGCUGGUGGUCAACAGUUAGAAAUGACUGCUAAUACUCCAUAGAAAGGGAUGGGACUAUAUCGUGUCAGCUAGUCGGUGGGGUAACGGCCUACCGAGGCUAUGACGCGUAACUGGUCUGAGAGGAUGCUCAGACACAUUGGAACGGAGACACGGUCCAAACUCCGACGGGAGGCAGCAGUAGGGAAUAUUGCGCAAUGGGGGAAGCCCUGACAGAGCAACGCCGCGUGGAGGAUGACACUUUUCGGAGCGGAAGCUCCUUGUGUUAGGGAAGCGGUACCUAACGAAUAAGCACCGGCUAACUCCGUGCCAGCCGCCGCGGUAAUAC